CAGGCCGGGCGGAGGCCCCCGUGGUGGGCGGGAUUCCGCGGCUCACUGGCUGGGGUUCUGAGAUGCUGUGACUCGGUGACCGGCUGAGAGGCCGAGUUCAUGCAAAUCCCGGCUCCUUGCGGCCUGUCCUGCGCGGUGCCGGUGCCCGAGGCCGGAAAAAGGGGAAAAAGGAAAGAAAGGUCUCGAGUUAAAUAAGACUGCUCUUUAGCGCCUCGGGGGAAGGCCGGAGCUCGAUCACGAGGAUCCUUGGUAGUUUAUCUUGAAGCAAUCAUCCCAGUCAUUCUAGGAAGGCACUAUCCAGUCUGUUGUUAAAAGCUGUGGGUGAGGACUUCCCUGGUGGCGCAGUGGUUAAGAAUCUGCCUGCCAAUGCAGGGGACAUGGGUUCGAGCCCUGGUCCGGGAAGAUCCCACAUGCCAAGGAGCAACUAAGCCCGUGUGCCACAACUUCUGAAGCCCGCGCGCCUAGAGCCCGUGCUCUGCAACAAGAGAAGCCACCGCAAUGAGAAGCCCAUGCACCGUAAUGAAGAGUAGCCCCCACUCACUGCAACUAGAGAAAGCCCGCGUGCAGCAAUGAAGACCCAACACAACCAAAAGAAAAUCAGUAUCCAUAAAGAACCUGUAGCUGAUGAUAUGGAAGCUAAAGUGGGCUUUGGAGACUUGGGAAGACAGAAAGAGACCAUAAAAUGGAGACUGACUGAUCCUCAGACCUAGACUCAACUUGUACCACUUCCAGGGGAGACAACAUGCUGAGGACCGGUGUGCAGAAAGUGGUGACUCCUUGAAAUAGGAAGGCAUGGAAAUGACCCACCAAAACCUGAGGAAUAUAAGCAAGUUGAAACACAUUUUCUGGAUGAGAAUAAUAAUCUUUAAUGGAGUCCGUAAGAAUUGUUUCAGGAAUUAACAUGAGGAGUUCAUAAAUAAAGAGAUAUCCUUUUAUUUUUAAAGCAACAAUAUUGAUGAAGAUUCUUGGUUUCCCAACAAUGUGUUUUUUGCAUAGCAACUGAACGACCUGAAGGAGAUAGGAAUAAA